rnacentral:rRNA from 1 species
AUGAACGCUAGCUACAGGCUUAACCCAUGCAAGUCGAGGGGCAGCGGUAUCGAAAGCUUGCUUUCGGUAGCCGGCGACCGGCGCACGGGUGAGUAACGCGUAUCGAACCUGCCUCAUACUCGGGAAUAGCCUUGCGAAAGUAAGAUUAAUGCCCGGUGUUUUCAGAGUCCCGCAUGAGGCUUUGAACAAAGAUUUAUCGGUAUGAGAUGGCGAUGCGUCCCAUUAGCUUGUUGGCGGGGUAACGGCCCACCAAGGCAUCGAUGGGUAGGGGUUCUGAGAGGAAGGUCCCCCACAUUGGAACUGAGACACGGUCCAAACUCCUACGGGAGGCAGCAGUGAGGAAUAUUGGUCAAUGGGCGGAAGCCUGAACCAGCCAAGUAGCGUGCAGGAAGACGGCCCUCCGGGUUGUAAACUGCUUUUAGUUGGGAAUAAAACGGGGCUCGUGAGCCCCCUUGCAUGUACCAUCAGAAAAAGGACCGGCUAAUUCCGU